rnacentral:rRNA from 1 species
GUCUUUUUGUAUUUAAUAUAAAGUCUAACCUGCCCAUUGAAAUAAUUUAAAAGGCUGCGGUAUAUUGACCGUACAAAGGUAGCAUAAUCAUUAGUUUUUUAAUUGAAAACUUGUAUGAAUGGUUGAAUGAGAAAUUAACUUUUUUUUAUAAAAUAUUGAAUUUUACUUUUUAGUUAAAAUGCUAAAAUAUAUUUAAAAGACGAGAAGACCCUAUAGAGUUUUAUAAUAUAUUUUUAUUAUUAUUAAGGUUUACUUAUAUUGUUAAAAAGAAAAUUAUUUUAUUGGGGUGAUAAUAAAAUUUAAUUAACUUUUAUUUAUAAUAAACAUUAAUAUAUGAAUAUUUGAUCCAAUUAUAUUGAUUAAAAAUUUAAAUUACCUUAGGGAUAACAGCGUAAUUUUUUUUUAAGUUCUUAUUAAUAAAAGAUUUUGCGACCUCGAUGUUGGAUUAAGAUUAAAUUUUAGGUGCAGGAGCUUAAAUUUUAAGUCUGUUCGACUUUUAAAUUCUU